AUUCUACUCCCUCCGUUCCAAAUUACUUGUCGCAGAAAUGGAUGUAUCUAGAACUAAAAUACAUCUAGAUACAUCCAUAUCUGCGACAAGUAAUUCGGAACAGAGGGAGUAAGAA
rnacentral:pre_miRNA from 1 species